AGUGAACGCUGGCGGUAGGCCUAACACAUGCAAGUCGAACGGCAGCACAGGAGAGCUUGCUCUCUAGGUGGCGAGUGGCGGACGGGUGAGGAAUACAUCGGAAUCUGCCCAGUCGUGGGGGAUAACGUAGGGAAACUUACGCUAAUACCGCAUACGACCUUCGGGUGAAAGAGGGGGAUCGCAAGACCUCUCGCGAUUGGAUGAGCCGAUGUCGGAUUAGCUAGUUAGCGGGGUAAUGGCCCACCAAGGCGACGAUCCGUAGCUGGUCUGAGAGGAUGAUCAGCCACACUGGAACUGAGACACGGUCCAGACUCCUACGGGAGGCAGCAGUGGGGAAUAUUGGACAAUGGGCGCAAGCCUGAUCCAGCCAUACCGCGUGGGUGAAGAAGGCCUUCGGGUUGUAAAGCCCUUUUGUUGGGGAAGAAAUCUUUCAGGCUAAUACCCUGGGAGGAUGACGGUACCCAAAGAAUAAGCACCGGCUAACUUCGUG
rnacentral:rRNA from 1 species